GCCCGGUUAGUCUAGCGGUAAGGCGGUGGUCUCGAAAACCACUUCUUCUUCGAAGAGCGCAAGUUCAAAUCCUGCAUCGGGCG
rnacentral:tRNA from 1 species